rnacentral:rRNA from 1 species
ACGGGUGAGUAACACGUAUGCAAUCCACCUGUAACAGGGGGAUAACCCGGAGAAAUCCGGACUAAUACCCCAUAAUAUGGGCGCUCCGCAUGGAGAGUCCAUUAAAGAGAGCAAUUUUGGUUACAGACGAGCAUGCGCUCCAUUAGCCAGUUGGCGGGGUAACGGCCCACCAAGGCGACGAUGGAUAGGGGUUCUGAGAGGAAGGUCCCCCACAUUGGAACUGAGACACGGUCCAA